rnacentral:lncRNA from 1 species
CUUGCGACCUGUCCAGGAUGUACCCCGUCUCUCGACUGUAGAUAGCUGGGAUAGGCUGCAACCCCCAGUGACCCUGGAUGGAUGGUUACUUUUCCCACUCGAUAUAUCACCCGGCCAUGGAAUGACGUAGCCAGAAAAAGUCAACAUAGACAGAUCAACGGCACCACACCAUUAAGAAUCACGAGGUAGAGCCCAGCGCCAAAACCAAAAGGGGCUACUCCGCCAACUCCCUCUCCCUCUGUCCCACACAUGUUCAUUCAUCAAGUCUGCUGACGAUGGCUCUGGAGCACAAGUCCAUGUGUUCCAUCACAGGCUCAUUCAUCCCUGGAAAAGACUCUAAGUUGACCUUCAGAUCGACUCUGGUGACCAUCCUCCACUCCAGGCACCGCCAGAUCCACACCAGUUCAAGGCCUCCUCUCUCCCACUCUCCAGCCUUCUCCACCACCAGGUCUAGACCUGGGGGGACAUCUGAUUCUAGCGGCCUCUGCUCCUGCUCCUUCCCCUC